rnacentral:tRNA from 1 species
GGAGAGGUGUCCGAGUGGCCGAAGGAGCACGACUGGAAAUCGUGUGUGGGGAAACUCACCGAGGGUUCGACUCCCUCCUUCUCCG